rnacentral:siRNA from 1 species
ACACCUGUUCCAACACAUAAGAUA